CUUCAAAUUCUCUCUCGGGUUUCUCUUCUCCUUGCUCUCUUGUUGCAGAAUUUUUCCUGCAACUUCUUCCCUUGGUUUAGUGCGUAAAAGCUCCACUUUCUCUUACCUCUUCACCCAUCAGGACAUAGAAGGAAGCAAGAAAAAAAAAAAAGAAGAAGAAAUAGUUCCCUCCUCUCUACCCUUAUAUCUCUCGGUCCAGCCGCUCUCUCCCUUCUUCCUUCAUGAACAGCAGGCAGCAAAUCAUUUCUCUUCUUUAUUUCUCUCUGUUUCGGUCAAGCCCAAAUAAAGAGCUCUCAGUUCUCUCUCUAUACAUAUCUUUUGGUUUGUAGCUUUUAACAAAGAGAAAAGGAAAACAAGAAGAAAGAAAAAGGGAAAAAGACAAAAGGAAAAAGGACAUCUCUCUCUCUCUCGUGAAACAAAGGAAAAGAAUUAAAAAAUAAUUAAUCAAUAAAUAAGAGGAAGAAGCUUUGGAUAGCCAUAAAAGAAAAGAAAAGAAAACAAAGAAGAGAACCUGUACUUGUCACUCGGCAGUAUGUGCGGAUAUAAUAAUCAGAGUCACCUUUUGGUAAUGGCAUAGACCUGGCUAAGAGCAAUAGAUGGUAUCUUGGGGAACUGAUGUAACCUUUGUAAUGCUCAAGUUCGCGUUUCCCUUAUUUCCCGAAACGGGGGCGCGACACUGGCUGUGGAACAAACGGAACCUUAGUGAAAGUGAUCCAUCCAUUCUGAUCAAAUAUAUGGCAAAGCCAGGCCAAGCCGAGGUGUAGAGCUACAAAGUGUCUUCCCCCUAAUAUAAUUAAUUGACGAGAUAUGAUAUGUUUAUAAUAUUUGUAUAAUUUUUGUACAAUUAUUUUUCAAAAUAAACAUUAGAUCUGCUUUCAUACAUGUGGGUCUUAUAUAUUUAA